CACCGAUACAGAAUUAUCGUCGUAUAAUUAAUAUUACGGUUGCAGUCACGGUCGUAGAUAUACCUGCCUUAUAGACCGUGUUUCUUGAUAAAACACCGUCAAAUACGAGCGUCUAGAGACAGCCACAACGAGCACAUUUCUUAUCGGUUACAAUUGUAAUAUUGCACAUCAAACAACCUGAUAUUAUGGAUGAGAAAAUGUUAUUAACAUGAAUAUACAAAACCACAGAACAUGGCCAAUACUCAUUAUACAAACAUACAAACAAAAAAAAAUAAUAAUAAUAAUAAUAAUAAUAACAAUAAAAUAAAAUGUAGUUUGAAAUAAAUAAAAAAAUAUCGUCUUCGAAAUAAUAAUAAUAAUAAGUAUAUAAACCAUAUGCACGGUCAAACUUCGCAUCAAUAUGGACAUAUGGAGGAGGCCCUUCUUAUUCGUUCAAAUCGUCUAUUAUUACUUUUCUUACGUUUAAUGUUGGUUUAUUUAAUCGUUGUUCUUCUGGUGCUGUUAAACGAAGUUUUUUAGUUGAAAAAAAUCUCUACUGUCUUUUAACCUUUUUUUAUUGGCCGGUUCUUGACUUGCGUUUUCGUUUAACGAAACAGGAACAUUAUAUUCUUGUUCUGACAGCAUUUUUAAAUUUGAAUCUAAGAACAAAUUAAUUUUUUGUAGCUGUUUAUCACUUAGUUUACCGGUAUAAUCAUUUUUAACAUCCGUAUCAUAACAUGUACAUGAAAAUAAAUGUACACAAACAUUAC